AAACGGAAGCAGAGCGCGAGAACUUAACCACUGGGCCCAUCCCACCCAUUUUGAAGAAGGAUCUGAUGCAUCUGUGUCAUCCUUAUGAAUAUGCUGCGCUGAUCUUUUAUGUUGUGUAACUUCAGGAGUGUUAGAUUGCCCUCCCCUCAAAGACACACUCAUGUCUGACAUGCCGCUAUUAGAGAAUGUUGUUGAUUUCUCCUGUUUUCCAGAUUCUCUAAGAAAGCCUAAGCAUUGCUGGAGAUGGUAGAGCCUUAGGCCCUAUAAGCAUCAGCCACAUGUCUCCUUGAGGCUCUGUAAUACUGCAGGAUUUGCAGCAGGGGUGGCGGUGGAUACGGGCCCCAGGGCCCCCUCGAUUCCAUGCAUUCCACGCUGGGACAGGGUGGCUGGACUAGCUCCCGGUCAACACCCUGCCCGGAGGCCAGCCUGUGGCUUCACUUUCAUUGCUCCAGUCUGGAAAGGGGGUGGCUUUAAGACUGCUGGGUCUCCUGUUUGAAGCCCAGAGCUACACUGGUUAUUUCUGUCUCUGGGUCUCCCUACACUCUCUCAUUUGGGAGAAAGCAAAUCUUGAGUGACCGGUACACCCUGAAGCACCUUUUCUUUGGCAGAGCGUCACGUCGUUUCGGGAACUGGCCGGAGAGACAUAGCUGCAGAGGCUUGCCUUUCACCAGAUCCUUCCAGCGACCCGAGCUCAGCGCCAGCCGGGGAACAUGGAAGACAGAGCAUAGCAGGCCGCUGACGAAAGUUCCUCACAUGACUCACGCAGAAGCUCGGCCCCUCCUGGGCCUCACCGUUUCUGUGGAAAACAUUCUCCAGGGCCCUUGGAAGGGGGAUGACUCACGGCGGGGGGUAUUUUUAGGAAUCCGUUAACUCGCAUUUAGCUUAGAGCAGCAGCCUCCAAUUCGAGCGGAGCUGUGAGCCGUUACACUCACGCUGUUUUGAAUGUUGUAAUUUCGCCACGGUUUCUUGGUCUGAGGAUUGAGUCAUCUUCUCGUUAAGUAGCAGGGGAAAACAGAAAAAGCCUGUUGCUACAACAGGGCACUUGAUAAGAUGCUAAAGGAAUCAAUGCCAGUAACAGCGUUAUAUUUAUCUUUACAGGAUCACACCUGCUCACUCCAAGCUCCUCUCGUAAUACUUGGUUAAAUUUUGCAAAGUCACUCCUGAGCACUUUAAGGAUGACAUUAAAAUGUGAGCACUGGUCUUAGAGGCAGAGUCUAAUAAGUUAGGGUGCCUUUUUAUACAGGAUUGACUCCAGAAGGGGCUCAUAUAUUUGUACCUUGAGCUUCAGACCGUUGGAAAGGUGCAAAUUGGAAUGGCAGGUGCUCCGUGUGGAGGAUGUUAAAGCAGCUUGGGACUCCCUUCUCUGGAAGUUGCAGGAAAAGGAACUUCUGCUAUCAGUUGCCCAGAGAGUAACGGUUCAGCUCGGUGUGGGCUUACUGCAGUGGCGAGGAUUUCUCAUCUUCCAAUAAUGAUCAAAAGCCAAACAAAACAAACAACGAGUGAAUGUCCAAAAGAAACAAAACAAAACACUUUGGUUGACAUCCUAUAUCUUUCACUGGUGCUGCUUUUCUCCUGCACUUUCCCACUGCCUGAUACUUAGCUGACUUUCCUGCAUUGGUUUGCCUCUAUAGACAAGCUCUAACCAUCCCUCCCUGGACGUGCUGACUAAUUCUCUACCUGGCUUGGCCCGGGGUUAACCCACAUUCAUGAACUUAAAAGGCGAUUCUUCUCCAAGUGGGCCUGUGACUGCCUAGAGCGCUCCCAGUGGUAUUUCACAACCUCUGCCUUCCUUACCAUCGGUCUUAUUGAAAUAGAUGGUGCCUUUCCACUCCAGCAGGGAGCUACAACCACCGACUUUAGAGAGUAAAUUGGAAAGUUGAUGUUUCCUUUUAAAUAAGCAAAGGAUAGCCCAUCCAGCUUAGCCAAGAGAGAAAACCAGAUCUCAAAUUGCAUCCUGAAUUCAAACCAUUAUAGCACCGCUGUUUGCUAAAAAAGAAAGAAGAAAAACACUGCAUAGAAUUCUCACAUUGAAACUUUGACCACAGUUUUCUCCAUGUUUCAUUGCAGGUGAAAAGCAGAAAUAGCAUAUGUUCCUUUUGACAGUAUUUGUGGCCUGGCUAAAAAUGAGGAAGUAUUAGAUAAUUCAUGCAAAAUCUUAUUUUGAUGUAAUUUCCAGUCAUCGCUCUAGACUCAAAAAUAUUUGGCUAACCUGGAGAAGCAGCUGAACCCCAGGAUUCCCACUAAUUAUCUAUUUCUGCAAGGCAUAUGGAUAUGUGUGAUAUUCUUCCCUAGUACCAGUAGAAUGGCCAGGAGUUGAUAUUUGUAUGUUUUCCCAGUUACUAUUGCCAAACUCAUGAGUGAAGAAAAAAAAAAAAUUAUGGCCCUGAAUACACAAUUUUAACCUUAUGUUAUAUAUAAAAUAUAGCAGUCAAUGUGAUGUGUUGUUUUUGUACAGGAAUGAAAACAUUUGAAAAAAAAUCUUUAAAUAGACUUGUAAGUGGAGGGUACUUGAAGUCAAGAAUAACAUGAAACUUACUAACUG